GGCAUUUACUCAGUGAGUGGAAGAGGUUUGUUUGAAACAGACCGCAAUGGAGAGACCAGCGCCCAGGGAAGCGAGGGAGCAGCAGGCUCCUUCCGGCAGCGCAUCGAGAUGUGAGUCUGGGACACAGAGGGGGCCUCCGAGACCGGCAUUGAUUCGGACUCAGUUCCGGGAGAACCGGGGGCUGUUGGCAAAUACUGGAAGGACCUGGAUGUUAUCAUAUUUCCUCGGUAGAAAGCCAUGUGUGACUAGCUGCUUCUAACAAUCAGCAGGUAUGUAGCCCAUUGACAUUGACAUCGACACCGGUUUUGAAGAUGGAUAGACUGAACGGUCAUCUGGAAUAGACACUCGGGAACAGAAUUAAAUCUGCACUGACUAAGGGCAUUUUCAAACUUACAAUCAAGACAAACAAAUAGAUCAUGCUGUAACAUAGUGGCAACAGCCAUACCUCAGUUCAGUGCAGAAAUGGGAAGAAACUGCUCACUGAGAGGACAAGAGUUACUAACAUGGAGGAAACACGUUUUUAUGAAGCUUAUCAGUAAAUGAGAAGUACAGAAUUAA